UGCAAGUCGAGCGAAUGGAUUAAGAGCUUGCUCUUAUGAAGUUAGCGGCGGACGGGUGAGUAACACGUGGGUAACCUGCCCAUAAGACUGGGAUAACUCCGGGAAACCGGGGCUAAUACCGGAUAACAUUUUGAACCGCAUGGUUCGAAAUUGAAAGGCGGCUUCGGCUGUCACUUAUGGAUGGACCCGCGUCGCAUUAGCUAGUUGGUGAGGUAACGGCUCACCAAGGCAACGAUGCGUAGCCGACCUGAGAGGGUGAUCGGCCACACUGGGACUGAGACACGGCCCAGACUCCUACGGGAGGCAGCAGUAGGGAAUCUUCCGCAAUGGACGAAAGUCUGACGGAGCAACGCCGCGUGAGUGAUGAAGGCUUUCGGGUCGUAAAACUCUGUUGUUAGGGAAGAACAAGUGCUAGUUGAAUAAGCUGGCACCUUGACGGUACCUAACCAGAAAGCCACGGCUAACUACGUGCCAGCAGCCGCGGUAAUACGUAGGUGGCAAGCGUUAUCCGGAAUUAUUGGGCGUAAAGCGCGCGCAGGUGGUUUCUUAAGUCUGAUGUGAAAGCCCACGGCUCAACCGUGGAGGGUCAUUGGAAACUGGGAGACUUGAGUGCAGAAGAGGAAAGUGGAAUUCCAUGUGUAGCGGUGAAAUGCGUAGAGAUAUGGAGGAACACCAGUGGCGAAGGCGACUUUCUGGUCUGUAACUGACACUGAGGCGCGAAAGCGUGCGGAGCAAACAGGAUUAGAUA
rnacentral:rRNA from 1 species